CUAAGCUACAAGCUUGGAGUUUCUAGAUUCCAUGUUGACAAUGGACAGAAGAAAUGGUGGAUCCAUCUCAUUGGAGAUCUUGAAGGAAAGGACAGAUAGUUCCUUGUGAGUGAACUCUGAAGACCUUUUGGUUCAGGGAUAUAGAACAUGUUAUGAGUCCCAUCCAAUGUAAUCCAACCCAAGAAAUAUUUCUUGAGCACCUGAGAGAUACCAGCCACUAUGUUAACUGCUGGAGUGAUAAUGAAUACAGAGACAUACCUCCUGCCCUAAAGGGGCUCACAAGCUAAUGGAGAGAAAGAAUACACAAAAAAGCAAGAAAGUCAGGGUAGACUGCAGGGGUAUCCUGAAUGGGGCCAUCUUGUUCUGUAGACUUGGGUGGAGAGAAUACAGAUGCCCAGCCCUGCUCUCUCUCAAGGAAAGCAUUGUGUGGAGUUGGUCUCCCACCCUCCAGCUCUCCAGUGAGAGGUGAGAAGAGGCUGAAGGAGGUGAUUUCAAUCAAGGCCUGAAUGAACAGCUUGCAGGUGAGUUAAGCAGUAAGGAGCUUAAACUAGUGGGAGGAGCAUCUUGUUUGGAGGAGUCCAAAUAGGCAGAGUCCAUGGGUAUAUGGAGAUUCCCAGCCUGAGAGUUGGGGGAUGUGUGAUUUCUCAGAGUUCACACCUCUCUGAAGCUACCAUAAAUAGCAGCUCCUCAGUGGCACUCUCAGAACUCGGUGUCAGCAACAGCAGCACAGAGGAGAAGCUGGGGAAGGAAGGAGCAUGGAGGAGCCCAGUGAACGAGACAGGAGUAUUCUUGGACUCUAUGAUAGUCUCCUCAUCAGUCUGCAGAACCUCCUCACCUGUCCAGUCUGCAAAAGUUAUUACAGUAAACCUAUAACCUUGUUUAGUGGCCGCACCAUAUGUCAGGCCUGUAUUCCCCUAGGAUGCCUACCUAUCCACAUCAAGACCGACUGGAGGAUACAGAAUAUAGCAAACCUGGUCAAGGUGUUGAAACCAAGCCUGGAAGAGCCCCAACCUGUCUCAGAGGAAUGGUGUCUCAGGCAUGAUGAACCCUUCACCCUCCUCUGUGAAGAAGACAAGCAGAGAAUCUGCCGGAUCUGCAAGUUCUCCAUCCUUCACAGGGGCCAUACCUUGACCCAACUACAAGACCCAGAAGCAUGUCUGGAGGUUUCUCCAAAGAAGAGGAGGACGUAAUCCUGCUUAGACCUGUGGGCCACCACUGAAUUCUCUUCCCCCAGCCUCUCAUAGAGAAGAAUACAGGAACCACCACCAUCGAUCCUGUGUUCAGUCCACCCCCAUCCAUCCCCUCUGCUGUCCUCCCUGGAAAACAAGGCUCAGUUUCCCAUUGACAUCAUCAUGAGGAAGACAGAAUCCAGGAUGGAAGAAAUCCCUCAACUGGAGCAUCUUCCCAGCCUACAUUCUGUCAUGCCUGCCACCUGCUGGCCUAUUUGGUGACUAACCUUGAAUAAAGUUUCUUCUCUGACCUAUUGGAUAUUGUUU
rnacentral:lncRNA from 1 species